AAACUCAAAGGAAUUGACGGGACCCGCACAAGCGGUGGAUGAUGUGGAUUAAUUCGAUGCAACGCGAAAAACCUUACCUACCCUUGACAUGUCCGGAAUCCUGCAGAGAUGCGGGAGUGCCCGAAAGGGAAUCGGAACACAGGUGCUGCAUGGCUGUCGUCAGCUCGUGUCGUGAGAUGUUGGGUUAAGUCCCGCAACGAGCGCAACCCUUGCCAUUAGUUGCUACGAAAGGGCACUCUAAUGGGACUGCCGGUGACAAACCGGAGGAAGGUGGGGAUGACGUCAAGUCCUCAUGGCCCUUAUAGGUGGGGCUACACACGUCAUACAAUGGCCGGUACAGAGGGUAGCCAACCCGCGAGGGGGAGCCAAUCCCACAAAGCCGGUCGUAGUCCGGAUCGCAGUCUGCAACUCGACUGCGUGAAGUCGGAAUCGCUAGUAAUCGCGGAUCAGCAUGUCGCGGUGAAUACGUUCCCGGGUCUU
rnacentral:rRNA from 1 species